rnacentral:rRNA from 1 species
GACGAACGCUGGCGGCGUGCCUAAUACAUGCAAGUUGAGCGCUGAAGGUUGGUACUUGUACCAACUGGAUGAGCAGCGGACGGGUGAGUAACGCGUGGGGAAUCUGCCUUUGAGCGGGGGACAACAUUUGGAAACGAAUGCUAAUACCGCAUAAAAACUUUAAACACAAGUUUUAAGUUUGAAAGAUGCAAUUGCAUCACUCAAAGAUGAUCCCGCGUUGUAUUAGCUAGUUGGUGAGGUAAAGGCUCACCAAGGCGAUGAUACAUAGCCGACCUGAGAGGGUGGACGGCCCAAUUGGGACUGAGACACGGCCCAAGCUCCUACGGGAGGCAGCAGGAGGGAAUCUUCGGCAAAGGACGAAAGUCUGACCGAGAAACGCCGCGGGAGUGAAGAAGGUUUUCGGAUCGUAAAACUCUGUUGGUAGGGAAGAACGUUGGUGAGAGUGGAAAGCUCAUCAAGUGACGGUAACUACCCAGAAAGGGACGGCUAACUACGUG